GACGAACGCUGGCGGCGUGCUUAACACAUGCAAGUCGAACGGAAAGGCCCUGCUUGCAGGGUACUCGAGUGGCGAACGGGUGAGUAACACGUGGGUGAUCUGCCCUGCACUUCGGGAUAAGCCUGGGAAACUGGGUCUAAUACCGGAUAGGAGCCAUUUUUAGUGUGAUGGUUGGAAAGUUUUUUCGGUGUAGGAUGAGCUCGCGGCCUAUCAGCUUGUUGGUGGGGUAAUGGCCUACCAAGGCGGCGACGGGUAGCCGGCCUGAGAGGGUGGACGGCCACAUUGGGACUGAGAUACGGCCCAGACUCCUACGGGAGGCAGCAGGGGGGAAUAUUGCACAAUGGGCGCAAGCCUGAUGCAGCGACGCCGCGUGGGGGAUGACGGCCUUCGGGUUGUAAAAUCCUUUCGCUAGGGACGAAGCUUUUUGUGACGGUACCUAGAUAAGAAGCACCGGCUAACUACGUG
rnacentral:rRNA from 1 species